CUACGGGAGGCAGCAGUGAGGAAUAUUGCACAAUGGGGGGAACCCUGAUGCAGCAACGCCGCGUGGAGGAUGACGCAUUUCGGUGUGUAAACUCCUUUUAUAUGUCAAGAAAAUGACGGUAGCAUAUGAAUAAGCACCGGCUAACUCCGUGCCAGCAGCCGCGGUAAUACGGAGGGUGCAAGCGUUACUCGGAAUCACUGGGCGUAAAGGACGCGUAGGCGGGUUGGAAAGUCAGGUGUGAAAUCCUACAGCUUAACUGUAGAACUGCACUUGAAACUUCUAAUCUAGAGUAUGGGAGGGGGAGAUGGAAUUAGUGGUGUAGGGGUAAAAUCCGUAGAUAUCACUAGGAAUACCUAAAGCGAAGGCGAUCUCCUGGAACAUUACUGACGCUAAGGCGUGAAAGCGUGGGGAGCAAACAGGAUUAGAUACCCGGGUAGUC
rnacentral:rRNA from 1 species